UAUGAGAGUUUGAUCCUGGCUCAGGAUGAACGCCGGCGGUGUGCCUAAUACAUGCAAGUCGUACGCACUGGCCCAACUGAUUGAUGGUGCUUGCACCUGAUUGACGAUGGAUUACCAGUGAGUGGCGGACGGGUGAGUAACACGUAGGUAACCUGCCCCGGAGUGGGGGAUAACAUUUGGAAACAGAUGCUAAUACCGCAUAACAACAAAAGCCACAUGGCUUUUGUUUGAAAGAUGGCUUCGGCUAUCACUCUGGGAUGGACCUGCGGUGCAUUAGCUAGUUGGUAAGGUAACGGCUUACCAAGGCGAUGAUGCAUAGCCGAGUUGAGAGACUGAUCGGCCACAAUGGAACUGAGACACGGUCCAUACUCCUACGGGAGGCAGCAGUAGGGAAUCUUCCACAAUGGGCGCAAGCCUGAUGGAGCAACACCGCGUGAGUGAAGAAGGGUUUCGGCUCGUAAAGCUCUGUUGUUGGAGAAGAACGUGCGUGAGAGUAACUGUUCACGCAGUGACGGUAUCCAACCAGAAAGUCACGGCUAACUACGUGCCAGCAGCCGCGGUAAUACGUAGGUGGCAAGCGUUAUCCGGAUUUAUUGGGCGUAAAGCGAGCGCGGGCGGUUGCUUAGGUCUGAUGUGAAAGCCUUCGGCUUAACCGAAGAAGUGCAUCGGAAACCGGGCGACUUGAGUGCAGAAGAGGACAGUGGAACUCCAUGUGUAGCGGUGGAAUGCGUAGAUAUAUGGAAGAACACCAGUGGCGAAGGCGGCUGUCUGGUCUGCAACUGACGCUGAGGCUCGAAAGCAUGGGUAGCGAACAGGAUUAGAUACCCUGGUAGUCCAUGCCGUAAACGAUGAGUGCUAGGU
rnacentral:rRNA from 1 species